rnacentral:rRNA from 1 species
UACGUAGGGUGCAAGCGUUGUCCGGAAUUAUUGGGCGUAAAGCGCUCGUAGGCGGUCCGUCACGUCGGGAGUGAAAACUUGGGGCUUAACCCCAAGCCUGCUUCCGAUACGGGCGGACUAGAGGUAGGCAGGGGAGAACGGAAUUCCUGGUGUAGCGGUGAAAUGCGCAGAUAUCAGGAGGAACACCGGUGGCGAAGGCGGUUCUCUGGGCCUUACCUGACGCUGAGGAGCGAAAGCGUGGGGAGCAAACAGG